rnacentral:rRNA from 1 species
UACCAGGUCAAGACAUGGGCGUGAUUGACAGGCUAAUGACUUUUCUCGGUUCCAUGGAUGGUGGUGCAUGGUCGCACUUAGUUGGUGCAGUGAUUUGUCAGGUUUAUUCCGGUAACGAACGAGACCUCGGCCUUGUAAAUAGCUAUGCUGCUUACAGGGACAUUGGCGGCUACGCCAAGGAAGCUCGAGGCAAUUGCAGAUCUGGAAUGCCCUUAGAUGUCCUGGGUCGCACGCGUGCUACAAUGACGCCACGAACGAGCUUGCGUGAUGAAAGUUACGCAUAAUCAGCAGUCGGCGUCUUAAGGGAUAGUCUCUUGUAACUGUGGGACUCCAACUAGGAAUGUCUCGUAAGCACAAGUCAACAUCUUGUGUUGAUUACGUCCCUGCUCUUUGUACACACCGCCCGUCGCUCCUACCGAUCGAGUGUUUAGGUGAAUUUGAUGGACGUAAGGAAGUCAAAUAAACCUGAGCACUAGAGAAGAGAAGUCAAGAAUGCCAAU